rfam:Colius striatus contig71575, whole genome shotgun sequence.
GUGCUUGCUUCAGCAACACGUAUACUAAAAUUGGAAGGAUACAGAGAAGAUUAGCAUGGCCCUGCACAAACGUGACACACAAAUUUGUGAAGAGUUCCAUAUUUUU